rnacentral:misc_RNA from 1 species
CAGCCACAAACAACCUGUCGAGGGGUGAGUUCAUUUAUUUUGAAUGGUUCAUAUCUGGUGCAGAAUGUUAGCUUGCUAAAAAUCUAAUUCAAACCACUAUAGAUUAGUCAUGAAUUAUAUAUAAAUUUGUGGUCUGGGUUAAAUUUUUGUAGUUUACUAUGAGAAGUCUGUAGUGCCCAUUCAGGCAUGUUGUUGAGUGUUAAUCAUAGUGUUGUCUUAGUUAAGUGUAGUUCAUGUUAUAUUAGGUUGUUAAGAGUCGAAAUUGAUUAGAAUCGUAGUUAAUUUCUUAAGACUGGUUCAUUAUUCUGGUUGUUUGUGUUGCACAACUCAAAUUAACUUAUGGUUUAGAGGAUAUUUGCAUAUAAUUCAUUGGAUGAGAUAAUUGCACGUGAAUUCAAAGCUAGUAAAAUUUGUCAAAAUUAAAAUGAUAUAUGAGGUUUAGUUGAAGUUAAACAUUCAUAGCCCUUAUAUAGUUUAAAACUUG